CAAGUGUUCACUUAUCAUAUAGGAUAUUUUAAACUCAUUUCAUGGAAAAAGAUUUCCAGGAUCCAGAUAGCAUUCAGGGGAAAAAAAUUAUUUAGAAAGAAACAGCAUUGUGUGGUGUCCCCCAGCACCUCCCAGACAAAGGGCUUUUGUCUGAAGGUUGGAGGCCUCUGCUGUCUUGGCCUAGUGAGUGCCAGUUUCCGCGUGGCUGCCCCGCACCCUUGGGAAGGCUGUAGGGGGACAGUGCUGGCCGGGGUCUUAGCUUCCCUGCUCCUGCAGGAGGACUGGGCUUCCUCAUUCAUUCCCUUCUUACUCUCAUCCAUCAGUGCCUUUAAACUGAAACCUGGAACUAUGGUAUUCUCUUUGGCUCUUAGAACGGGUUGGCUUAACGGGGGAAAUAUUAAUAGCACUGGUGUCGGCGGAAGUGACCUUGAGCUACAUAGGAAGAUUUUGAUAAAACGUGUCACUCCUGUUACCUAUCAGGAUCAAACUGCAUCAUGGAAGCUGCACACGAUGACACCCUGUCCGGAAAGUUUUUGCCAGAGGGCAAAAGACUGCAAGCAGAAUAUCCCUUCACCAUUUCUCAUGAAGCCCUGGAGAGGAUCGUUCAUGGAAACAAGGAUGACGAGUGUGGUAAGAAGUACAGGUGACUCGUGAGUGGGCAGGCAGUGGAAGAGAAGAUGGCUGGAAGGUUUUAGCAUUCAGAAAAAAAUGGAGACAACUAGAGUUGAUCUGAAGAUUAUGGCAGAAUUCAAUAUUGGGGCAAAGAAACAAGAUGGGGGUUAGAAAUUAGAAACAGCAGAGCUCCGCAGGUUGGAAAGGAUUUGAGCAAGAGAACAAAAAGGAGCCUGCUAAUAGCACCCUGGGUUUACAGCAAGAGAAGCACCUGGAGAGAAUUAACUCGGGAGGAGGUGGGGGCAUGGGAAACCUUUUCAUCUCCAAGAGUGGGCAGGAACAGCAGCUGGCCUGAACUUGAAGGUACACCAGGUAGCUUGCCUGGGCCAGGAGAAGGUGAUUCUCUUCUAUACCUCUCUCCAACGCCCCGCUUCUGAUGCUGCUCCUCUACCCAUAUUGAGGGGAAGAUAUAUCCCUAAGAAGUUCCCUGCACCCCAUUUCUUGUUCUGGCUAACUGGUCCCCUAGGAAUUUUUCUCCUAAUUUUCAUUUCCCCUUCUCACCUGGUGAAAUCUUAAAUCUUACUGUUCAAUAAAAGUUCUUCUACCAAAAUUUCUAUACCA
rnacentral:lncRNA from 1 species